GAUGAACGCUGGCGGCGUGCCUAGUACAUGCAAGUCGAGCGAACGGACGAGAAGCUUGCUUCUCUGAUGUUAGCGGCGGACGGGUGAGUAACACGUGGAUAACCUACCUAUAAGACUGGGAUAACUUCGGGAAACCGGAGCUAAUACCGGAUAAUAUUUUGAACCGCAUGGUUCAAAAGUGAAAGACGGUCUUGCUGUCACUUAUAGAUGGAUCCGCGCUGCAUUAGCUAGUUGGUAAGGUAACGACUUACCAAGGCAACGAUGCAUAGCCGACCUGAGAGGGUGAUCGGCCACACUGGAACUGAGACACGGUCCAGACUCCUACGGGAGGCAGCAGUAGGGAAUCUUCCGCAAUGGGCGAAAGCCUGACGGAGCAACGCCGAGUGAGUGAUGAAGGUCUUCGGAUCGUAAAACUCUGUUAUUAGGGAAGAACAUAUGGGUAAGUAACUGUGCACAUCUUGAAGGUACCUAAUCAGAAAGCCACGGCUAACUACGUG
rnacentral:rRNA from 1 species